rnacentral:rRNA from 1 species
UUGAACGCUGGCGGCAAGCCUUACACAUGCAAGUCGAGCGGUAACAUUUUCUAGCUUGCUAGAAGAUGACGAGCGGCGGACGGGUGAGUAAAGCAUAGGAAUCUGGCCAAUAGAGGGGGAUAGCCCGGAGAAAUCCGGAUUAAUACCGCAUACACUCUAUGGAGAAAAAGCAGGGGAUCUUCGGACCUUGCGCUAUUGGAUGAGCCUAUGUCGGAUUAGUUAGUUGGUGGGGUAAAGGCCUACCAAGGCGACGAUCCGUAGCUGGUCUUAGAGGAUGAUCAGCCACAUCGGGACUGAGACACGGCCCGAACUCCUACGGGAGGCAGCAGUGGGGAAUAUUGCACAAUGGGCGCAAGCCUGAUGCAGCUAUGCCGCGUGUGUGAAGAAGGCCUUAGGGUUGUAAAGCACUUUCAGUAGUGAGGAAAAGUGUUGUGUUAAUAGCGCAACGCUGUGACGUUAGCUACAGAAGAAGGACCGGCAAACUCCGUG